rnacentral:lncRNA from 1 species
CCUCCUUCCCCUCCUACCGGAAUAGGAGAGCACGGAGGUGAGAGGGAAGUGAGGUUUAAGGGGAGUUCCGGGCUUGGAGAAGACAGAGGUGGCAAAGAAGAAGCGAGAGAAGGGAUUCUUGGAGAGCAGAGACGAGGAGGGGAGGAGCAGUCUAAGGCUGGAGGAGAUUUGCGGCAUACUGCGUGAUAACGGGAGCUGCCUCUAAUUUUAAGGGUUUGGGGGGUUUAAAGGAGGGGAUUGGGGCACGAGAGGGAAAG